UGGGGAAUCUUGCGCAAUGGGCGAAAGCCUGACGCAGCCAUGCCGCGUGGAUGAUGAAGGUCUUAGGAUUGUAAAAUCCUUUCACCGGUGAAGAUAAUGACUGUAGCCGGAGAAGAAGCCCCGGCUAACUUCGUGCCAGCAGCCGCGGUAAUACGAAGGGGGCUAGCGUUGCUCGGAAUUACUGGGCGUAAAGGGAGCGUAGGCGGACAUUUAAGUCAGGGGUGAAAUCCCAGAGCUCAACUCUGGAACUGCCUUUGAUACUGGGUGUCUUGAGUGUGAUAGAGGUAUGUGGAACUCCGAGUGUAGAGGUGAAAUUCGUAGAUAUUCGGAAGAACACCAGUGGCGAAGGCGACAUACUGGAUCAUUACUGACGCUGAGGCUCGAAAGCGUGGGGAGCAAACAGGAUUAGAUACCCUAGUAGUCCCUGAGCGGGCUGGCAAGGCGCAU
rnacentral:rRNA from 1 species